rnacentral:rRNA from 1 species
GUGACCGAGCGACGCCGCGUGUGGGAUGAAGGCCUUCGGGUUGUAAACCACUGUCAGUAGGGAAGAAUGUCCGGAUGGUGAAUCCGGGAGAGACGGUACCUGCAGAGGAAGCCACGGCUAACUCCGUGCCAGCAGCCGCGGUAAUACGGAGGUGGCAAGCGUUGUUCGGAAUUACUGGGCGUAAAGAGCUCGUAGGUGGCUCUGUAAGUAGGUGGUGAAAGCCCACGGCUCAACCGUGGAUACGCCUCCUAAACUGUGGAGCUUGAGGCUGGGAGAGAAAAUCGGAAUUCCUGGUGUAGCGGUGAAAUGCGUAGACAUCAGGAGGAGCACCGGUGGCGAAGGCGGAUUUCUGGACCAGUUCUGACACUGAGGAGCGAAAGCCAGGGGAGCAAACAGGAUUAGAUACCCUGGUAGUCCUGGCUGUAAACGAU